UUCUAAACCUGAUUGUAGUGAGCACGAGCCCGAUUCUUCAUCGGGAGAAGUAAAACGGUAAGCAGGACUCACU
rnacentral:sRNA from 1 species